rnacentral:rRNA from 1 species
UUUUUUUUCUUUAGCCUGUUGGCCUCGUUUGUGAGUUGAGGGAGUGAUGUGUCCACCUAUUCGAGGAGAGAGGGAGUGUCUUGUACAGGCGGGGAGAAGGUGAUGUAGGGGUAACCGCUGCUCUGUUUGUGGGUGGGGACGGACCAGGUACCGCCGGCGGGAAGGGGACGGCGACUAGAUACAGGGGAGGGGGUGGGGGGACGGCGACGCGGCCAGGUACCGCCAGAGAAGUGCGUCGGGCCUAGACGGCGGAUGCCGAAGGUGGAGCGAAGGGAAAAGGGGUAGCGAGAGGUCGGGGCGCUGCUUGCGCAAGCGCCGGUGGUCGGAUCAGACGUCGGUGCCGAGGCGAGGUCGGCGGUACCUACUCAAAACGGAGGUUGCCCAGCAGCCGUGGCUGGUGGCCCGUCGGAACCUCCCUAGGCCGUCUCCGAGGGGUGGAGAUGAUGCCGACCUCCUCCGGUAGCUACGGGGGAUGAAGUGCGGCAGGGUCGUUGUUGCUCGCGGCGGCGCAGGCAAGUACCCAUGGGGGACGAGUCGCAUGAAACAUCUGCUACAAGAUGUUCGUCAGAACGGGCCCUUCUUUUACGUGUAGUGCCCCUUGAACUCUCACCUCUUCUUUUUGGGUUAGAUCCAUCCACGUAACCGACUCCUGAACCAACCGUGGCUGCAGCAGCCGACGCCUUCCGUCGCUACCGGUUGUGAGCGACCUGCCGCUACCGCGUUGUCACCGAACCGCCACGGCUGCAGAGUGACGUUACACGCAAACUUGAAGCUGUAGCUUCUUUCUGUAGUUCUAAUUGAUCCUACCUUGACCGGUGUAUGACGCGUGUUCUCCUAUCAGACGUAGACGCAACCGAUCUUCGAGCAGCCGCGCCCGCAGCAGGCGACGCGUACCGCCGCUACCACGUCCUGUCCGACCCGCCGACGCUGCAUGCAGGCCCGCCCGUUUCCGUCCUUCUAGCUCAACUAAGGGCUGCCGACCCCUAAACCUACGGUCGCUACAAAAAGUGCUUCCCGGACCUGGUCCAGCGCGAGUUCAACCACACCUUCCACUCGUCCGUCGCUGCCGGAGUACUGUGGCGGCCUCUUCAAGUCCUCGCCAGUGCACGAUGCGCGCAGCCACGGCGACGCGCGGUGUAUGCCCUCGUGGAGGUGUCGGAGGCUGCACCUGUUCAGGAGCUUGCGGCUCCUCCAGCUCGAGACGUCGACGCCGUCAAUGAGGCAGCAUCCGGAGCGGGGCGGCGGCGUACCGGCACGGGGCAUGGCCAUGCCGUUGUACGGGCGGCGGCGGUGCCUAGCGGUGUCCGCUGCGUCUGCGGCGGUUGGUCACGUCUCGCACCAGCGCAAGGGGCGCCCGAUAUGCCUGCUAGCGAAGCGCACUCCAGCGGAAAGUACCGACGGUGGUCGCAGCCGCCCUUACUGAGAGGCUACUGUGGGCUCCUGAGGUAUCACCAAACAUGGAGAAAAUACUAACUGCUUGAGUGGCGACAAGUCGAAGGGAUGAUC